AACGGAUUAUUCUUUAUAGCUUGCUAUGAUAACAAUUAGUGGCAGACGGGUGAGUAAUGCAUAGGAAUCUACCUAGUAGUAUGGGAUAGCCACUAGAAAUGGUGGGUAAUACUGUAUAAUCCCUGCGGGGGAAAGAUUUAUCGCUAUUAGAUGAGCCUAUGUUAGAUUAGCUAGUUGGUAGGGUAAAGGCCUACCAAGGCAGUGAUCUAUAGCUGGUCUGAGAGGAUGAUCAGCCACACUGGAACUGAGAUACGGUCCAGACUCCUACGGGAGGCAGCAGUGGGGAAUAUUGGACAAUGGGCGCAAGCCUGAUCCAGCUAUGCCGCGUGAGUGAGGAAGGCCUUAGGGUUGUAAAACUCUUUCAGUGGGGAAGAUAAUGACGGUACCCACAGAAGAAGUCCCGGCAAACUCCGUGCCAGCAGCCGCGGUAAUACGGAGGGGGCAAGCGUUGUUCGGAAUUAUUGGGCGUAAAGGGCAUGUAGGCGGUUCGGUAAGUUAAAGGUGAAAUGCCAGGGCUUAACCCUGGAGCUGCUUUUAAUACUGCC
rnacentral:rRNA from 1 species